AGCGAACGCUGGCGGCGUGCUUAACACAUGCAAGUCGAACGUGAAAAGGCUUCGGCCUUAGUAAAGUGGCGUACGGGUGAGUAACACGUGGGUAAUCUACCCUAAAGUUUGGAAUAACCUGCCGAAAGGCGGGCUAAUACUGGAUAGGUCGAGACUUUCAUUGAGAUUGUCUCGGGAAAGGGAGCUCGCAAGAGCCCUCGCUUUAGGAUGAGCCUGCGUCCCAUUAGCUAGUUGGUAGGGUAAUGGCCUACCAAGGCUACGAUGGGUAGCUGGUCUGAGAGGACGAUCAGCCACACUGGAACUGAAACACGGUCCAGACUCCUACGGGAGGCAGCAGUGGGGAAUCUUGCGCAAUGGACGAAAGUCUGACGCAGCAACGCCGCGUGAGUGAAGAAGGCCUGCGGGUCGUAAAGCUCUGUCGAAUGGGACGAAAACUUCAUAGGUUAAUAGCCUAUGGAAUUGACGGUACCAUUAGAGGAAGCACCGGCUAGCUCCGUGCCAGCAGCCGCCGUAA
rnacentral:rRNA from 1 species